GCCUAGUUUAGCUUAGUUGGUAGUGCGUCUGCCUUGUAAGCGCUAGGCCGCGGGUUCGAUUCCCGCCCGGGGCG
rfam:Asian citrus Psyllid, Diaphorina citri - Florida Strain, whole genome shotgun sequence.